rnacentral:rRNA from 1 species
GCAGGCGCGCUACCAUGCAGUCGAGCGAGACUUCGGUUCUAGCGGCGGACGGGUUAGUAACGCGUGGGAACGUGCCCUUCACUACGGAAUAGUCCCGGGAAACUGGGUUUAAUACCGUAUACGCCCUUCGGGGGAAAGAAUUUCGGUGAAGGAUCGGCCCGCGUUAGAUUAGAUAGUUGGUGGGGUAACGGCCUACCAAGUCUACGAUCUAUAGCUGGUUUUAGAGGAUGAUCAGCAACACUGGGACUGAGACACGGCCCAGACUCCUACGGGAGGCAGCAGUGGGGAAUCUUAGACAAUGGGCGCAAGCCUGAUCUAGCCAUGCCGCGUGAGUGAUGAAGGCCUUAGGGUCGUAAAGCUCUUUCGCCAGGGAUGAUAAUGACAGUACCUGGUAAAGAAACCCCGGCUAACUCCGUGCCAGCAGCCGCGGUAAUACGGAGGGGGUUAGCGUUGUUCGGAAUUACUGGGCGUAAAGCGCGCGUAGGCGGAUUGGAAAGUUGGGGGUGAAAUCCCAGGGCUCAACCCUGGAACUGCCUCCAAAACUAUCAGUCUAGAGUUCGAGAGAGGUGAGUGGAACUCCGAGUGUAGAGGUGAAAUUCGUAGAUAUUCGGAAGAACACCAGUGGCGAAGGCGGCUCACUGGCUCGAUACUGACGCUGAGGUGCGAAAGUGUGGGGAGCAAACAGGAUUAGAUACCCUGGUAGUCCACAC